GACUUCUGGCACUGUUUCCUGCUCCUGGAAACAGGGAGUGGAGAAGCUUCUCGAUUGGAAGCCGCUGCCGUCAAUUGUGGCCGAGCGGGCGGGACUUCCUGCCAAGCCCCCCAGAGUCUCUCUGCUGCUGCCGCAAGCGCCGCUGGCCCGGGGACCACAGAUUGGAAGCAGGCAGUCACUGGUCGUGGACAGGAAGACUCUCUCCGGCCAUCUCAGGUUGUACUUUCUCCAGCUGGCCCUAUGGCGGAGGCUAGGCCAGCUGAGCUGCAUGUCCAGACCUGCUCUGAAACUGCGCUCCUGGCUGCUGACCAUCCUCUACUACCUCCUGCCCUUCCGUGUGCUCAGGCCCCACAGCCAGGUGGGAUGGAGGCCCCUGAGCAGGGUGUUCCUGUAUAAAACUGUGCCAACUCGUUUGCUGUCACGUGCCUGUGGUCGCCUCAACCAAGUAGAACUUCCUUACUGGCUCCGGAGGCCAGUCUACAGCCUGUAUAUCUGGACCUUUGGGGUGAACAUGACUGAGGCUGCAGUGGAGGACCUGCACCACUACCACAACCUCAGCGAGUUCUUCUGGCGUAAGCUGAAGCCUCAGGCACAGCCUGUCUGCGAUUUGCACUGUGUGACCAGCCCAUCAAAUGGCAAGAUCCUCACCUUUGGGCAGGUGAAGAACUCUGAGGUGGAGCAGGUAAAGGGCGUAACCUACUCCUUGGAGUCCUUCCUGGGCCCUCGAGCCAGUACAGAAGACCUGCCCUUCCCUCCAGCUUCCUCCAGUGACUCCUUCAGAAACCAGCUGGUCCCCCGAGAAGGGAAUGCGCUCUACCACUGAGUCAUCUACCUGGCCCCAGGAGACUACCACUGCUUCCACUCCCCCACUGACUGGACCGUCUCACAUCGGUGCCACUUCCCAGGUUCCCUGAUGUCAGUGAACCCUGGCAUGGCCCGAUGGAUCAAAGAGCUCUUUUGUCACAAAGAGUCCUAACUGGAGACUGGAAACAUGGGUUCUUCUCGUUGACAGCAGUGGGAGCCACCAAUGUGGGCUCUAUCCGUAUCCACUUUAACUGAGACCUGCACACAAACAGCCCCAGGUACAGCAAGGGCUCCUACACACACGCCAACAAGGAGGGCAUUCCCAUGCGCAAGGGUGAGCCCCUGGGCGAGUUCAACCUGAGCUCCACCAUCGUGCUCAUCUUCGAGGCACCCAAGGACUUCAACUUGAGGCUGAAGGCAGGACAGAAGAUCUGCUUUGGGGAAGCACUGAGCUCCCUUAGUCCUCUUGGUUGUGGCUGCCAAAGGAUCUUUCCACACAGGAGCAUGAGGGUCUUCAGCGGAGCCCCAGGAUGUCUAGAAUGCUACAAGAGUGUGAUAGCUCCCAGAAUGAUUCAUGUGACAGGCUGACCUGUGAGGUCCUGAGUGCCCUGACAGUGGUGACCAGAAAGCUGUAUUGAGUGCACAGAGGAAAAAGAAAUCAGAAAGCAGUCACUCACAAGC